AGUGCUACAAUGAAAUAAACUACAAACGUAUCUGCAUGCUAAUAAAAACCAAAAUUGCCAGAUAACUCGAAAUAGCUCACCACCUGGACUGCAAGCCUGGAGAAGCCUUAAAAAUACUCUCCAAAAAAAGAACUGCAGUCACUGGGACCUGAAGAGCUCUGCCCAUGUGUGGAUGGUUGCUGGCGUUACUGCCUUGAACUCUCCGUUGAGCAGGGCAGCAGGGAAGCGGCAAGUGUGUGCAGCAGGCAGAGUCCGAGUCCACAGCAGCUGGUCACGAAUCCCAAAGGCCAAGCAAGAGCAAAAGCUGGCUGGGCUGUGAAAAUUGCUCCUCUGAGGUCCUAGGAAACAUCCUAAGGCCUUCACUCUGCAAAUACCCCUUUCAGGAGGAUGAGAGCGCUGCCUGGAGGAGCUCUUCAUCCCACCAGCUGCUCUGGUGUAUUUUCUGCAUUCCGACUGCUGCCUGGACCUGCCUUGGAGAACACUGGCAUCUGAGGCAGCUGCAAUUGUGCACAGUGGUAAGGAACGGAAAGAAAUCUGUCACAAAAGGAAAAAGCAAUCAGCUGUUAAACGCAGCCAAAGUUUCUCGUUUACAGGGCCCCUGCUUUAUGUCUUAAAUGUGACGUUUGCAC
rnacentral:lncRNA from 1 species